UCUUUUUGCAGCAAGGUGUAAACCCAGGUGACAUCACACUUGUCCUGGUGGCACUUCACAGGAGUUUCAGGCACUGCAUUGCAAGAUCAGACAGCAAUAGAGAGAAUCACAAACAGGAGCAUGAGGAAAAGGAGAACAAUUGCACAAAACAAACCAUUGCUGCUGACUGCCACGGGGCUGAGGCCAUUGAAGAUAGAAAAAAGGAACCAGGGAACUGGCAGGCUGCAAGGAAGGGAAAAGCUUGCAGAAAGAACAAAACCUCUCACCUGGUGAGCCCACCACACCAUGAGAUAAGAGAAUGCAGCAAUCCAGAGGAUGGAUCCAAAAAAUGUGAUGACAAAGAAUUUUUUUGAUUCCUGUUGAAAUGAAGUUUGAAAAGAAAAAAGAGAAGUUUCAGGGAAGUUAAUAAUCCCCAUUGAAAACUAUUCACCUGAAACACUUCACUGCAAUUGAUUGCUUUAACUUGGACCCUGGUCUCUGUUUGCUGUUUUUCAGCUUGAUUAGGUGACCUGUAGUUGCUAGAAUUUGUGGUUUAUUAAAUUAAGUCUCUGAAAUGACAUUACACUGCAGCUGGGGCUCCUGUCCCACUCCCUGCAGUUACAGCCCUUCAACUACGCAAAGACUCCAGACAUGGAAAAAUGGACCCAGGGACUCUGGCCCAGAGGAAAUCUAUAGCUCAGUUAAUGACUCCAGGAGCAGAAGGAAGGUGGAUUCUUACCGAGUUUCUGACAUCAGGCAGAGUGCUCCAGAGAGGAAAGACAAUGGGAAAGAGGAAAAGAUUCUGAAGAUUGUAUUAAAACCGUCCUUAAACCCCAGAAAGGAUGUAAAGCUUUGCUUCUCAGGUUUCUCCCCCAGCUCCCCCUCCCUCCAUAGAGCACAGCAUUCUCCAGGGACCUGAUACUCUUCAAGGCUUCUGAGAAAUGACCAGGAUGUGCUGCCAGACUUUAAUCCCUGAUCGUUUGGAAGUGGGGAAAAGGACAAAAGAACAAACUUGCUAGAAAUUGCUAAUUUAAAAAAGGCACAUUGAAGGGCUGGGAUGAGGUCUGAGCUAAGAAGAAGAAGACGUGAUGUGCUAUGGGAAAGAGGAAGCCUGUAACUCACAUUAACUGCCACUGGAGUCAGAGAAACAGCAGAGAUGGGGAAUGUCACCACUUCCAGUAACCAGUUUGGCACAGAAAAAGUAGACAAGGCCUCUCCAGGCCAUGGGGCAGCAAUUCAACAGAGGAAUCAGUGUUCAGUGUUUGCUAUGGGAAAGGACAGACCCCGCCAGCCGCUGCUAUGACAGCCCAGGAAGAAAUUGAGCCAUGAGACCAGGUAAGAAGAGUCACUGUCUGAAUUUCUAUGUGACUGUUUUAUAGCAGAGAAUGAACAGCACUCUUCUAGUUAAAUCCACCUGGGAAGUCUGAGCUGUUUCUUAAAUUUUAUAAAAAUGCCUUAAAGGACAGGACUCAGCCAGGUGUCCUCUUAAGCAAACUCUGGCUAUUGUGCCUGAUAUGACAGGCUUUGGUCCAGGUUUCUUGACACAGGAGUUGACACUUUUAUUUAUGACCUGACAUGGGGAGAGAUUCAAAAUACCAUGACUUCAGAUCCCUGUAAAGUUGCUUAGACCUACCUUCAGCUUCCUCCCAUCUGGUGGCUUCAUUGUUCCAUCAUCUACAACUGCCCUGCUUGUCUGCAAGCAAUGAAGAACAGAAAUGACCAAUCACCUCUGCUGCUUCAGGAUCAAACAAUCCUUCAGGCUGCUGCCUCUGGGGAAGUGGCACAACUGACACUCCUUAAACCCACUGGCUUCUGAGGAAGACAGGAUUCUACCUAAAGCCUCCCAGUGAGGAUGCAGCACCUGGGGGCAGACUCACAACUGAUUCCUGUAGCUACAGACAGACCCAGAUUUCAUCCCCAAACAUCUGUAUCCUUACUCAUUUUCCAGCAGAGUGAGUGAAGGUUCAAAGGCAGAUUUUUUUAGAGCAAUUAGCAUUACUUUCCAUAAUAUCUGUGAUUAAUUUUUCCCAAGGGAUAGGUUCAGCAGCUCUCUGUCAUGCUACUAAACAUUAGUGAGAGUUCUCUGUAAACUUCAAAUGCAGGGCUGGAUUCAAUCUGUGAUGCUUGGUGAUGUCUACAGUGAUGUGUGUGUGUCACUGCAGUUUCUUGCACGUGUAUCCCACUGGAAUGUAACCCAGGAGCUUUCAGGACUCCUAGCUGAACACUGGCUGAACAACAAACCAGGAGUAGGAAAGAGAAGGAGUUUCUCGAUUCUGCACCACUUCAGCUAUUCUCUCUCCUUAUCUGCUUCCUUCCUUUCUUUAAAUGGAGUGCCAAGAUCAGAAGGCAAAGCAUGCUUGAGGGCCAGGGACACAUCUGACUAGCAGAGAGAACUUUUUAUGAUGUUCUCCAGUUUCUUAGAAUCUCUCUAGUUUGAAUUUUCCCCAUUUUAAAACAUAAUUAUUGACCAGUACCUGUAUUCUGAGGUUCAAAUAUGUGCUUUGUGAAGGAGAUGCAGUUUUUCUUUGUGGUUUACACUAAAAGUUAUUUCCAACUUGCCCUCUGAACUCUAAGGACACCAACCUUCUGC